GAUGAACGCUGGCGGCGUGCCUAAUACAUGCAAGUCGAGCGAACAGACGAGGAGCUUGCUCCUCUGACGUUAGCGGCGGACGGGUGAGUAACACGUGGAUAACCUACCUAUAAGACUGGGAUAACUUCGGGAAACCGGAGCUAAUACCGGAUAAUAUAUUGAACCGCAUGGUUCAAUAGUGAAAGACGGUUUUGCUGUCACUUAUAGAUGGAUCCGCGCCGCAUUAGCUAGUUGGUAAGGUAACGGCUUACCAAGGCAACGAUGCGUAGCCGACCUGAGAGGGUGAUCGGCCACACUGGAACUGAGACACGGUCCAGACUCCUACGGGAGGCAGCAGUAGGGAAUCUUCCGCAAUGGGCGAAAGCCUGACGGAGCAACGCCGCGUGAGUGAUGAAGGUCUUCGGAUCGUAAAACUCUGUUAUGAGGGAAGAACAAAUGUGUAAGUAACUAUGCCCGUCUUGACGGUACCUAAUCAGAAAGCCACGGCUAACUACGU
rnacentral:rRNA from 1 species